rnacentral:rRNA from 1 species
CGGAAUGAGUAGCGAGAUGGAGGUGGGAAUCCUCCAGGCCGAAUAUCCAAGGUUUCCAGGGUAAAGCUGAUCUGCCCUGGGUAAGUCGGGGCCUAAGGCGAGGCUGGGAAGCGUAGUCGAUGGACAACAGGUUGAGAUUCCUGUACCAUGUAUCAUCAGAACUGUGGGGACACAGAAGGACAGCACAUCCCGGGAAUGGGAAUACCGGGGCAAGCGGGGUAGGAGUACGGCUGGCAAAUCCGCCGUACAAUCCGAAUACGUGACGCGGAGCGAACUGAAGUAGUGAAGUGUGUGAUUCCAGCUGUCAAGAAAAGCCGCUAUUGUGUGAUACACGCCCGUACCGUAAACCGACACAGGUGGAUGAGGAGAGAAUCCUAAGGCCGGCGGGAGAAGCAUUGUUAAGGAACUCGGCAAAAUGACCCCGUAACUUCGGGAGAAGGGGUGCCACAGAGAUGUGGCCGCAGAGAAUAGGCUCAAGCAACUGUUUAGCAAAAACACAGGUCUAUGCAAAACCGUAAGGUGAGGUAUAUGGGCUGACGCCUGCCCGGUGCUGGAAGGUUAAGAGGAGAGGUCAGCGGAAACGCGAAGCUUUGAAUUUAAGCCCCAGUAAACGGCGGCCGUAACUAUAACGGUCCUAA